UACGAAGGUGGCAAGCGUUGUUCGGAUUUACUGGGCGUACAGGGAGCGUAGGCGGUUGGAUAGGCCCUCCGUGAAAUCUCCAGGCUUAACCUGGAAAGUGCAGAGGGGACUGUUCAGCUAGAGGAUGGGAGAGGAGCGCGGAAUUCCCGGUGUAGCGGUGAAAUGCGUAGAGAUCGGGAGGAAGGCCGGUGGCGAAGGCGGCGCUCUGGAACAUUUCUGACGCUGAGGCUCGAAAGCGUGGGGAGCAACAGGG
rnacentral:rRNA from 1 species